rnacentral:rRNA from 1 species
CGUUGAUUACGUCCCUGCCCUUUGUACACACCGCCCGUCGCUACUACCGAUUGAAUGGCUCAGUGAGGCCUUGGGACUGGCUCAGAGAGGUCGGCAGCGACCACUCAGAGCCGGAAACUUGGUCAAGCUUGGUCAUUUAGAGGAAGUAAAAGUCGUAACAAGG